UUUGAACCCAAAUCCAUUCCACUUCAUCCCACUGCAGAGGAACCAGGCAGAGGUGCAGAGAUGGGUUCUUAGACCAAUGGAAUCGCCUUCUCAGCGUUUUUGAGCACUUGGCUGAUGCCUGAUGCCCAAUUGGGAUUAAUCUCCACAUCCUAACAAGAGGAACGACUAUUUCUCAGGGAACAGAAGCGGAGGUGCAUUCAGGCCAUAUGUGUAACUUUGGGAUCAGCUUUCUGUGAUGAAACUGGAAGCGAAUCCCAGAUGAGAGGCUCAACUGUUUCAGAAGAACAUUGCAAAGCCCAGCGCGCCUAACCAAGUUGUCACACACAGAGCAGAACUAUUGAUGAGAGCCAUCCAACAUCUGUUGCCUGGGUAACCAUCAAUCCACUAAGCCGGCUCUGAGUCAUAAAUGGCGUGGGGAGAAGAUCUGCUGGGACAGAGGGCAGCGCAAACUCUUUUCAUCCUUCCCCAUCUCCAGAUGUGGCCUACGGCUGCCACACAAGGUUAAUAGAAGCCUAUUAUCAAAUCCCUACAGACCUAAAAGAAACCCUCUUUCCCUGACCCUCACUCAAAGUUUCUUGGACCUCCAUUAGUUUUUUCACAAAACCUCCCCAGAUUCUUAACAGUGCUUAGCAUAUUACCAUUGCUAAGCAGCACUACUCAAAAUGCCAGUCUGCUGAUUGGUGCUACGUUAUUCCACACCAGCAUCUGGCUCCCAGCCCGCACUUGGAGUAGCACUGGGCUAGAGCACCUACUCCUUAGGACCACUGUGGUAGCCAGUCAGAGCUCACACACUUACCGUGACUUUCACUUGGGACUUUGGUAACGGGAAAACCUACUACAUGGUUCUCCUUUCAUGUAUUCCAUCACAUCCAAUAUGCUGAACACAAUGUAGAGAGAAAAAUGAAUAAUAUGCCUUUGCAGAGUAACUAGUUCUAGUUCUCUAAAAAUACUCCAGGAUGUAUUCCCAAAAGAACUGAAAAUAAUUUUCAAGCAAAAACUUAUACAUAAAUGUUCAUAGCAGCGCUAUUUACCACAGCCAAAAGGUGGAAACAACCCAAAUGUCCAUCAGUGGAUGAAAGGACAAGCAAAAUGUAGUAUAUAAAGAAAAUAUAGUACCCACAGUUCCAUCACCCAAAACCAAAUACUGUUCACAUCUUGUUUCAGUUUAUGUUCCAUAGUAAUAAUUCAUUCUGCAUAUAUAAUUUAUAUUUUGUUUUCAAACUUUAUGUUAUUUCCAAAGUAUUGCCUGUGUUCCAUAAGUUUCAUGAGCUUAAACUACCAGGUAGAGGUUCCUGAUACAUAUUUCUUAAAUUGCUUCUUAAUAUUGUACUAAUUUAUACUGACCCCCGUAAUAUAUGAAAAUAUCUAUUUCACAUACAUCCUUGCUAGAAUUGACUAGUCUCCUAAAAAAGAAAAGAGAUUACUACAUGAUUGUUUUAAUACUUUCUUUGAUCGUUAGUAAGGUUGUCACUCUACAACUUUAUUCUGUUUUGAAAAAACAAAUAAAUGUUUAGUAGAGACUUCUCUAUGCUUUGUUUUUGUCAGAGUACAUAACAACUAGUCAUUACUGUUUGGGGGAGAACCCAAUGGUAAAUGCUUUAAAAUACUAGACUAAACUAGACACAGUUGUCUCUGAAGAAAGAACCAGAGAAUUGGAAGGCUGAUAUGAUCAAAUUACCUAGAAUGCAAUACUGAGCAGAGAUAGAAAAUAUGAAAAAUAAGAACAUAGAAGUCAA
rnacentral:lncRNA from 1 species